rnacentral:rRNA from 1 species
GGGGAAUUUUGGACAAUGGGGGAAACCCUGAUCCAGCCAUGCCGCGUGUGGGAUGAAGGCCUUCGGGUUGUAAACCGCUUUUGUCAGAGACGAAAAGGGACGUACGAAUAAUACGUUCCGCUGACGGUAUCUGAAGAAUAAGCACCGGCUAACUACGUGCCAGCAGCCGCGGUAAUACGUAGGGUGCAAGCGUUAAUCGGAAUUACUGGGCGUAAAGGGUGCGCAGGCGGCUGUGCAAGACAGAUGUGAAAUCCCCGGGCUUAACCUGGGAACUGCAUUUGUGACUGCACGGCUAGAGUUUGUCAGAGGAAAGCGGAAUUCCUAGUGUAGCGGUGAAAUGCGUAGAUAUUAGGAGGAACACCAGUGGCGAAAGCGGCUUUCUGGACGACAACUGACGCUGAGGCGCGAAAGCCAGGGGAGCAAACG